AAACUCCCACAACCAUCGCGAAUCUUACCCGUACGGUUGCCUCGGCGCUGGCGGUCCGGAAAGGCCCUCGGGUCCUCCCGGAUCCUCGGGUCUCCCGCUCGCGGGAGGCUGCCCGCCGGAGUGCCGAAACUAAACUCUUGAUAUUUUAUGUCUCUCUGAGUAAACUUUUAAAUAAGUCAAAACUUUCAACAACGGAUCUCUUGGUUCUGGCAUCGAUGAAGAACGCAGCGAAAUGCGAUAAGUAAUGUGAAUUGCAGAAUUCAGUGAAUCAUCGAAUCUUUGAACGCACAUUGCGCUCGCCAGUAUUCUGGCGAGCAUGCCUGUUCGAGCGUCAUUUCAACCAUCAAGCUCUGCUUGCGUUGGGGAUCCGCGGCUGCCCGCGGUCCCUCAAAAUCAGUGGCGGGCUCGCUAGUCACACCGAGCGUAGUAACUCUACAUCGCUAUGGUCGUGCGGCGGGUUCUUGCCGUAAAACCCCCCAUUUCUAAGGUUGACCUCGGAUCAGGUAGGAAUACCCGCUGAACUUAAGCAUAUCAUAAGGGGGGAGGAAA
rnacentral:rRNA from 1 species